ensembl:lncRNA
UUCAGAUGUGCCACUCUCAGCCUCCCUUCAGCAGGAUGCAGUUAACAACCAUGCUGACAAGGAGCGUUGGAGUUGCGGGAAGUACUCUGUGGUGCAGCCUUGGAGCACACUGCUUCCUGCAGUGCAAGAGGCACACAGCCAGCAGUCAGAUGGAAAGAGCGGGAACGAUGAGGCGAGAAGCGAGAGCGGCGGGAAGCGAAAACGGCGGGAAGAGAGAGACACGUUCUGCGCUCCUAUUGGCUGGCGGGCGGCGGGGACACCUAUAUAAGGCUCACGGGGAAAUGCAAACUCCUUACAGCGUGACAGGAAUCCCACUGCUCUGAGGAAAAGACGGCAAGCGGCAUCCCGGGCUGAGGAGCUCCCGCAGAAGACGGCGGAAGAAGCCACGUGUGGAACCGGGCGGCAGGAGGAUGCAAGCAGAGGGAGCAAGAAGAGGAAGCAGAAGACUGCGGCUGGGCUAAGGGAGAGGCGGCCUGGGCAAAAGCAUCUCCCUGUCACCAGGGGCAUAGUCAUGUCGCAGUAGAGCGUUGCCGGCACUUUAGGUGACCAGGCCGGCUUUGUGCUGGGCGACCUCCCUGUAAGCAGGGCUCGGGUCUUUGCUGUAGUUGGCCUUUUGCCUUGUUGCUCCUUUGGCUGCCUGGGGAAGGUGGGCCCCUGUAAGGAGGGCGAGAGCUGCUUUCUCCGCACCCGAGUGGGAAAUGGAGCUCGCUGGACCCCACGGGCACCCUGUAAGCAGGGUAGCGCCCUUCCCCUGCCACUGUUCCUCUGGCCGCUCAGCGCUGAUGCCUGCUGGUGGCCUGUCCGUGUGUUGGCCCUGUACUCGGGGCGUGUGUCACGCCACUUGGCCUUAAGUCACCUGGGAAUCCCCUUGGCGCGUUGAGGUCUGAGGCCUCCGUGCAGCCCCGGGGCGGGACAGAGGCUCUUGUCUGCUGCUCGUGGGUACGGGGUUUUAUUUCCCCAGGCCUUGGCUGCACUGCCUUCUCCUUCCGUUCUGGAAAGCCCUGUCUGUGUGGUUGUGUUCCCCUUCCUUCCCUUGUUUGCUUUUGUGUGUGUGACUGUGCGAUUGAAGUCUCCCCUUAGGCCUCCAUGACUAUGGCUGCAGCUUAGCUGUGGCUUCCCAGGGGGGAAUGGAGGACUCGGUGGAUGCAGCAAGGGGGAUGUUCCCUCUUAGCUCCGCGAGUGGUGCAAGUGUCCUUUUGUCUUGCCCCUUUUUUCCUAGGGCAGAACAGAGCUGUGUGGUAGUUGCGUGGCCAUGGCCGCCCUGUAUCCAGGGUUUGGGUCUGUGCCUGUGUGGCCCCCUGUCCUGCUGGCGACACGCCAGCGUGACAGCCCCGUACUCGGGGCGUGUGUCACAAACUGUGGAGCCCUCUGUCCCCGGAGCGGCCCGCCCCCCCUGUAAUCAGGUCUGGGGAGGCUGCGUUGGUGCAGCCGGCUGCUUUAGCCAGCUGGUGGGAGUGACCCCUCCCUGGCCCGUUAGAGGGUGCAGGUUGAGGUGCUACUUGUGGCUGGGGCGACUUCCCCGCUGUGUGGGUAGAGGUUGUUCCCUGGGCUCCUGAAGACGUGGUGAUGAUUGUGCUGCGGCCGGGCGGGCCCGCCUGUACCUCGGGCGUUGGCAGGAGCUGCGUGCUCCGUGGGGCUUUUGGACGUGGUGCGGCGUGGGGUACCGUCCUGUAGUCAGGGCUGUGCGUGCCCCCUGCGCUUAGGAGGAUGAGUUCUGAGAGACCCCCUGUACUCAGGUGGGUACCUUCGGCCCGGCCUUUCAGAGGCGUGGUGCUGAGAGAUGUGGGGUUGGGAUCUCGGCCUUUGGCCGUGCCGCCCUGCUGCCUGGCCGCUGAGAGUCGUUCCUGCUGGCGAGGGGGAAACCGAGCUCUGUGGCUCCUGGGUGUCAUCGCCCCGCCUGUAAGCAGGGUCUGUGGGUGGGAGCCUUUGUGCUCCGCUGGCAGCCUGUGUGGGGCGACCGCCCUGAUAGCAGGGUUUGGGUCAAGGUGCCCCUGACUGGGGGAGAAGGAGCCCCCCGUGGCCUUCUGGGACCGGGGCUGCCCUGUAAGUCAGGGUGUGGCUGAGCCCUGGGGUACCAGGCCCUUUGCGGUGGAAGCGGCGACCGGGGCCCCUCUGUAAGCAGGGGUGUGGACCCUUUGGCCGCCACGUUGUGUGCCCAGCCCCAUUUGCCCAGGCUGCCCGACUCUGCGGCCCGUUGCAGCAGCGUCUGGAAGUCCGCGGCGCAUGGAAGUGGAGCUCCCGCAGAAGACGGCGGAAGAAGCCACGUGUGGAACCGGGCGGCAGGAGGAUGCAAGCAGAGGGAGCAAGAAGAGGAAGCAGAAGACUGCGGCUGGGCUAAGGGAGAGGCGGCCUGGGCAAAAGCAUCUCCCUGUCACCAGGGGCAUAGUCAUGUCGCAGUAGAGCGUUGCCGGCACUUUAGGUGACCAGGCCGGCUUUGUGCUGGGCGACCUCCCUGUAAGCAGGGCUCGGGUCUUUGCUGUAGUUGGCCUUUUGCCUUGUUGCUCCUUUGGCUGCCUGGGGAAGGUGGGCCCCUGUAAGGAGGGCGAGAGCCGCUUUCUCCGCACCCGAGUGGGAAAUGGAGCUCGCUGGACCCCACGGGCACCCUGUAAGCAGGGUAGCGCCCUUCCCCUGCCACUGUUCCUCUGGCCGCUCAGCGCUGAUGCCUGCUGGUGGCCUGCCCGUGUGUUGGCCCUGUACUCGGGGCGUGUGUCACGCCACUUGGCCUUAAGUCACCUGGGAAUCCCCUUGGCGCGUUGAGGUCUGAGGCCUCCGUGCAGCCCCUUUUGUCUUGCCCCUUUUUUCCUAGGGCAGAACAGAGCUGUGUGGUAGUUGCGUGGCCAUGGCCGCCCUGUAUCCAGGGUUUGGGUCUGUGCCUGUGUGGCCCCCUGUCCUGCUGGCGACACGCCAGCGUGACAGCCCCGUACUCGGGGCGUGUGUCACAAACUGUGGAGCCCUCUGUCCCCGGAGCGGCCCGCCCCCCCUGUAAUCAGGUCUGGGGAGGCUGCGUUGGUGCAGCCGGCUGCUUUAGCCAGCUGGUGGGAGUGACCCCUCCCUGGCCCGUUAGAGGGUGCAGGUUGAGGUGCUACUUGUGGCUGGGGCGACUUCCCCGCUGUGUGGGUAGAGGUUGUUCCCUGGGCUCCUGAAGACGUGGUGAUGAUUGUGCUGCGGCCGGGCGGGCCCGCCUGUACCUCGGGCGUUGGCAGGAGCUGCGUGCUCCGUGGGGCUUUUGGACGUGGUGCGGCGUGGGGUACCGUCCUGUAGUCAGGGCUGUGCGUGCCCCCUGCGCUUAGGAGGAUGAGUUCUGAGAGACCCCCUGUACUCAGGUGGGUACCUUCGGCCCGGCCUUUCAGAGGCGUGGUGCUGAGAGAUGUGGGGUUGGGAUCUCGGCCUUUGGCCGUGCCGCCCUGCUGCCUGGCCGCUGAGAGUCGUUCCUGCUGGCGAGGGGGAAACCGAGCUCUGUGGCUCCUGGGUGUCAUCGCCCCGCCUGUAAGCAGGGUCUGUGGGUGGGAGCCUUUGUGCUCCGCUGGCAGCCUGUGUGGGGCGACCGCCCUGAUAGCAGGGUUUGGGUCAAGGUGCCCCUGACUGGGGGAGAAGGAGCCCCCCGUGGCCUUCUGGGACCGGGGCUGCCCUGUAAGUCAGGGUGUGGCUGAGCCCUGGGGUACCAGGCCCUUUGCGGUGGAAGCGGCGACCGGGGCCCCUCUGUAAGCAGGGGUGUGGACCCUUUGGCCGCCACGUUGUGUGCCCAGCCCCAUUUGCCCAGGCUGCCCGACUCUGCGGCCCGUUGCAGCAGCGUCUGGAAGUCCGCGGCGCAUGGAAGUGGAGCUCCCGCAGAAGACGGCGGAAGAAGCCGCAUGUGGAACCGGAGCACAUGAGGGAGGAAGAGGCUGAUGCUGAGGUUGGGCAGUGUUUUGUAAUUAGACCAAUUUUUCUUAAUAUUUAUGGUGUUUCCCCUUAACAUAUAUGCUUUGAUUAUUCACCAAAAUUAUGUACUACCCCCUGUAUUAAAAGUUUUUUUCUUGUUGAUGUGAUGUCUGCCUCUUUUUUUCUUCUUCUUUUUAUGUGUUUAUGAUCUUUUUUUGUCUAUUUGCAUUUUAGUGUGUGCUGGAAGUAGUUUUUCCUUAUUUUUCUUGUCUAGAUUUACCUAAGCCACUUCAGUCUUAACCGCUCCAUCUACUUCCUGGUUUUUUUUGAAGUUUUUUUUUGGUGGCACAACUCUUGUGCACAUGACCAUCUACAUUACUUACUUUUACAGCCAUGUUUUCUACCUAGGCAGCAAUAUCUUUUCACAGUGCAGCAUCCCAGAUCUACUGGUCUCUGUGCUGCUAGUUCUAGUUCCAUUGCUGUUACCACCCCCCACAGGGCAUUUGCGUCAGUGUAAUGAUAUAGCUCUGGCCAUUUUCUUAUUCAGCAACAUUUGAAGCCAGCUGGUCUGCCUUUGUUUCUGAUAACUGUCUCAAUUCAUCCUUUCCUUCAG